rnacentral:rRNA from 1 species
UUAAGUGAAUAAGGGCGCACGGUGGAUGCCUUGGCACUAGGAGCCGAUGAAGGACGGGACUAACACCGAUAUGCUUCGGGGAGCUGUAAGUAAGCUUUGAUCCGGAGAUUUCCGAAUGGGGGAACCCAGCAUCUUUUGUAGGAUGUUACCUUUAAGUGAAUUCAUAGCUUAUUGGAGGUAGACGCAGAGAACUGAAACAUCUAAGUACCUGCAGGAAGAGAAAGAAAAUUCGAUUCCCUGAGUAGCGGCGAGCGAAACGGGAACAGCCCAAACCAACAAGCUUGCUUGUUGGGGUUGUAGGACUCAAAUGUGGUAGUAAGCAAGAUAGCCGAAUGACUUGGAAAAGUCAGCCAAAGUGGGUGAAAGCCCCGUAGGCAAAAUUUUGUGAGCACCUAUGAGUAUCCUGAGUACGGCGGAACACGAGAAAUUCCGUCGGAAUCUAGGAGGACCAUCUCCUAAGGCUAAAUACUCCCUAGUGACCGAUAGCGAACCAGUACCGUGAGGGAAAGGUGAAAAGCACCCCGGGAGGGGAGUGAAAUAGAACCUGAAACCGUGUGCCUACAACAAGUUAGAGCCCGUUAAUGGGUGAUAGCGUGCCUUUUGUAGAAUGAACCGGCGAGUUACGAUUGCAUGCGAGGUUAAGUUGAAGAGACGGAGCCGUAGCGAAAGCGAGUCUGAAUAGGGCGAUAGAGUAUGUAGUCGUAGACCCGAAACCAUGUGAUCUACCCAUGUCCAGGUUGAAGGUGCGGUAAAACGCACUGGAGGACCGAACCAGGACACGUUGAAAAGUGUUUGGAUGAGGUGUGGGUAGCGGAGAAAUUCCAAACGAACUUGGAGAUAGCUGGUUCUCUCCGAAAUAGCUUUAGGGCUAGCCUCGGAAGUAAGAAUGAUGGAGGUAGAGCACUGUUUGGACUAGGGGCCCAUCUCGGGUUACCGAAUUCAGAUAAACUCCGAAUGCCAUUCAUUUAUAUCCGAGAGUCAGACUGCGAGUGAUAAGAUCCGUAGUCGAAAGGGAAACAGCCCAGACCACCAGCUAAGGUCCCCAAAUGUAUGUUAAGUGGAAAAGGAUGUGGGGUUGCACAGACAACUAGGAUGUUGGCUUAGAAGCAGCCACCAUUUAAAGAGUGCGUAAUAGCUCACUAGUCGAGUGACCCUGCGCCGAAAAUGUACCGGGGCUAAACAUACUACCGAAGCUGUGGAUUGUACUUACGUACAAUGGUAGGAGAGCGUUCUAAGGGCGUUGAAGGUAGAUCGUGAGGACUGCUGGAGCGCUUAGAAGUGAGAAUGCCGGUAUGAGUAGCGAAAGACAGGUGAGAAUCCUGUCCACCGAAUAACUAAGGUUUCCUGGGGAAGGCUCGUCCGCCCAGGGUUAGUCGGGACCUAAGCCGAGGCCGACAGGCGUAGGCGAUGGACAACAGGUUGAUAUUCCUGUACUCGUUGUUUUCGUUUGAGCAAUGGAGGGACGCAGGAGGCUAGGAAAAGCAGACGAAUGGAAAGGUCUGUCUAAGCAGUGAGUUUUGUGAUGAGUCAAAUGCUUGUCACUCUAAAGAUGAGCUGUGAUGGGGAGGUUGAUCUUGAAUCGACCGAGUUUCUGAUGUCACACUGUCAAGAAAAGCUUCUAGCGAGAAAACAACGACCCGUACCGCAAACCGACACAGGUAGUUGAGGAGAGAAUCCUAAGGUGAGCGAGAGAACUCUCGUUAAGGAACUCGGCAAAAUGACCCCGUAACUUCGGGAGAAGGGGUGCUGCAUUUAUGCAGCCGCAGUGAAUAGGCCCAAGCGACUGUUUAUCAAAAACACAGGUCUCUGCAAAAUCGUAAGAUGAAGUAUAGGGGCUGACGCCUGCCCGGUGCUGGAAGGUUAAGAGGAGUGCUUAGCGCAAGCGAAGGUACGAAUUGAAGCCCCAGUAAACGGCGGCCGUAACUAUAACGGUCCUAAGGUAGCGAAAUUCCUUGUCGGGUAAGUUCCGACCCGCACGAAAGGCGUAACGAUUUGGGCACUGUCUCAACGAGAGACUCGGUGAAAUUUUAGUACCUGUGAAGAUGCAGGUUACCCGCGACAGGACGGAAAGACCCCAUGGAGCUUUACUGUAGUUUGAUAUUGAGUGUCUGUACCGCAUGUACAGGAUAGGUAGGAGCCGUAGAAGUCGGGA